rnacentral:snRNA from 1 species
AUAUGCCAGAUUCCACCAA